rnacentral:rRNA from 1 species
UACGAAGGGGGCUAGCGUUGCUCGGAAUUACUGGGCGUAAAGGGCGCGUAGGCGGGUCGUUUAGUUAGAGGUGAAAGCCCAGGGCUCAACCCUGGAAUUGCCUUUAAUACUGGCGGCCUUGAGUAUGGCAGAGGUGUGUGGAACUCCGAGUGUAGAGGUGAAAUUCGUAGAUAUUCGGAAGAACACCAGUGGCGAAGGCGACACACUGGGCCAUUACUGAC